AUAUAUACGCAGUACAUAUACUCAAUAGGAAGGAUACCGAGAAGAUUAGCAUGGCCCCUGCGCAAGGAUGACACGCACAUUUGUAAAGCGUACCAGAUGUUU
rfam:Biomphalaria glabrata isolate BB02 unplaced genomic scaffold LGTN_random_Scaffold4412, whole genome shotgun sequence.